GGUGCUGGGCCUCGUGCGAUCGGAUGAGCCUGCGUUGGAUUAGCUGGUUGGUGGGGUAAGAGCCUACCAAGGCGACGAUCCAUAGCUGGUCUGAGAGGACGACCAGCCACACCGGGACUGAGACACGGCCCGGACUCCUACGGGAGGCAGCAGUGGGGAAUAUUGGACAAUGGGCGCAAGCCUGAUCCAGCAAUGCCGCGUGUGUGAAGAAGGCCUGCGGGUUGUAAAGCACUUUCAGUCGGGAGGAAAAGGGGUUGGCGAACAGCCGGUCCGUGUGACGUAACCGACAGAAGAAGCACCGGCUAACUCCGUGCCAGCAGCCGCGGUAAUACGGAGGGUGCGAGCGUUAAUCGGAAUUACUGGGCGUAAAGGGCGCGUAGGCGGCCGGAUCAGUCAGAUGUGAAAGCCCCGGGCUCAACCUGGGAACGGCAUUUGAUACUGUCCGGCUGGAGUUUGAUAGAGGGGAGUGGAAUUUCCGGUGUAGCGGUGAAAUGCGUAGAGAUCGGAAGGAACACCAGUGGCGAAGGCGACUCCCUGGAUUAAAACUGACGCUGAGGUGCGAAAGCGUGGGUAGCAAACAGGAUUAGAUACCCUGGUAGUCCACGCUGUAAACGAUGAGAACUAGCCGUUGGACGCGAUAAAGUGUUUAGUGGCGCAGCAAACGCGAUAAGUUCUCCGCCUGGGGAGUACGGCCGCAAGGUUAAAACUCAAAUGAAUUGACGGGGGCCCGCACAAGCGGUGGAGCAUGUGGUUUAAUUCGAUGCAACGCGAAGAACCUUACCUGCCCUUGACAUCCGGAGAGCCGGGCAGAGAUGUCUGGGUGCCUUCGGGAACUCCGAGACAGGUGCUGCAUGGCUGUCGUCAGCUCGUGUCGUGAGAUGUUGGGUUAAGUCCCGUAACGAGCGCAACCCUUAUCCUUAGUUGCCAGCGGUUUGGCCGGGAACU
rnacentral:rRNA from 1 species